GAUGACAGAUAAGAGGUGAAGAUAAACGAGUUGCGGGUGAGGCCAAGGUGACUCCCUUAGGAGAGGUCCGAAGAACUGAACAGAGUCAUGUGAAGACCAAAUGAAACCAGACAGGGCCUGGUGUCAGACUGACAGAAGCAUCCAUGCAUAGCUCUUACAACCUUAACCAGGAAGCGGGAGACAAUGUACAGAGCAAAAUGUCUAAAAUAUCUGAUAUAAUCUCUUCAAGGUAUAUGGAAAUAUGAACUAAAAUAAUUACUUGAUCUCAGUCAGUAAGAUGGGAAAAAUGCAACCUAACCAUGUCUCCUGUUUUUGCUCUCUCUUCCAUUCUACUCCUUUUUCCUUUUCUUUACAUACAAAUUCUUUUAAAAAGCUGUUUACUUUUGUUUGUAAUUCAAUUUACAUAAUUUUAAACUUGUGUGCCUCUUAGGGUUUUUUCUUCUUUCUUUUUUAAUUCACCCUACUGUUUUUAUUUCCUUUUCCAGUUUAUUUUUUAUACUUUUGGUCUUUCAGUUUUCAGUCCUUAUCAGACAUUCUUAUUUUCGUUUCUUUACUCUCUAGUUCUGCUCCCAUUUCUACUUUCUCUUCCUCUUUGCUCCUAUUCUGGAUCAGUUUCAGUUAGGAAUAUUUGAAAGUCAGAAGGAAAGGUUACAAAUUAAAUGUUAACCCUCCACCUGUUUUGACAACAAACUGCCUUCUUCCUACCUACCACCCACCAAAACAUUUCCCCAAACUUACAUGCAAGCACAAAAAUGAAUUACCUAGAAACCAUGCAUGGAGGCCAGAUCCUAGGCACAAGCAUCAAAAUAACCACCUCUCUUUUACUAUAUUAAAUAAUUACGUUUAGCCCCAAUAGAACACAUUUAAUCUUUAAAUGCCUGUGCAACCCUUCAUUAAUUUGUCCUCACAAUAUAAUUAAAUAUUAUUAUCCCCAUUUAACAGACAGGGGAACCUGAAACGAAGAGAAGUUAUGUAACCCAUAACAAAUGCAUGCAUUCAUGCUACCCACAAACUUAAACAAAUUGACUCUUAUCUCUGAGACACCUUCAACUCACACAGAUACCAAUCUGUAAUCAGAUUGUUCACUGUCCAUUGUUCAACAGCUUGCUUUAAGGCAAGGAAGUUGCACAGUCAUCUUCCCUCACUGGGCAGCUUUUCAGAAGAUGAAAGGAGAGUAAACUGUAGAGACAAUGAGCAGAAAACAAACACUAGCACUCACAGUCCCAUUCCAGCACUGUCAGGAUGUUUGAUAACUUUCUUUGCUUACUGACGAUUGCAAAUACAGGUUCUUCCUGGUUCUAGUACCUGUGGAUCAGCACCUAGGUUAUUACAAGGAAAAUCACCUUGGACAUGUGCAUGGAAAGGAUAAUAUCUUGGAUGAUUAAAAAAGCUGGCAUGAUUGAAGGAUAUGCUAGAAGAUGUGGAGGCUGUGAGCAUGGGAAAGCAGGUAAUAAAUAUGGAUUCUAGGGCCUGAGGGAAGGGAGUCAGAGAUGUGUAUGGUGGAGCUGUGGA